rnacentral:ncRNA from 1 species
AUUGGUUACGGGCAAACCCGUCGAAAGACGGGGACGCAAAGCUUCCGGUCUACGGGAUUCCAUCCUACGACAGCGGGGUUGCCGCA